rnacentral:misc_RNA from 1 species
AAAAGUUUAAGACACUAAUAUAUUGAAACUUGAAUACUCUUUUAAUGUUUCAAAAAUAAAAUCAAGCAAUUAUAAAAAAACUACUUUUCAAGUUUCAUCAAAAGUAGCAUAAUAAUUUUCUUCAUCUUCUUCUGCACCUUCAUCCUCUUGAUGCUCACUUUCAAAAUUAAUAUAUUCGUCAUCCUUCUCAUCUCUAAUACUAAAGGAGUAUUGGUUCUCAAGUUAGUAGAUGAUGUUUUUUCUUUUUCCCUUUAGCAUAGAUAUUGAAAUAGGUGUAUAUGUAACAAUUUUUCUGAAAAAGAUAAAAAGAGAGUAGUAUUUGUUGAAAAUGGAAAUAUGGGAG